UGUGGUCACACAGGUACCUAUGUGCCCCACGCAGAGUCUGGAAGCUGCUGUAUCCUCCCAGAGCACACCCACCUGUGUGAGCAGCAUGAAGGCAUUGUCAGCCCGCAGGUGCUUCUUCAGGAACUCCACACAGUGGGCCUCGAGCGCGGGCACUGCGUACUUCUUGGCCGUGUACAGUGUGGUCAUCACUGUCUCUGGCCCGAUCUGCACUUCAUCUGAGUACAGGAACCUGCAGGAGACACAGACUGUGACAGAGUGACCACCACAGCCACUCCGCUUGACCAGGCACCACAGGUUUGCAAAGCACUGUUCAGGAACCUCCUAGAGUUGGCAUCUGUCGUCUGUUGUCUGCUGACCUGGGGAUGCCCCUUGGUAAGGCCAGGCUGUCACCCAGGAGAUGCCUACGCGCAGGCCGCCCUGAGCUAACAAAGGCUGAGUGUAGGCACUCAUGGGUAAAUCGCAGGCUGAUGGACCUCAGGCCCCAGUGGGGACAGCAUGGUUAUCUACACCACACUGGUCACGGGCUAGGUGGGCACCAGCCCUUGGAUUCCAUCUCAGCACCACAGCUUAAGCAUGGCACAUAGCACGUUUGACAUUUUUGGAUACAGGCUAUUUCAAAACAACAAAGUUAAAAGUGUUCUUGUAAAAGAUUAAAAACAAUGUGUG
rnacentral:lncRNA from 1 species